AAACAGGCUUCAUCCCGAACGCCAGCAUCAAUCCUAUCUUCUUCUCCCCUUGCUCCACCGCUCAGAGCACACUGCUCUGUCUCCGCCACGCAAUACAGAGAGGAGUGGCCUUCGCCGGCGACGAGGCUCCUCCCUGACCAGAUCCCGCCACAGUCGCGGCGGCAGGGGUCGAGGACGACGACCACGAGGGAUCCGCGGAGGGGGCCAGGGAUUUGGCGUUCGCUACAGCCGAGCACCAGGUACUACCGCGCUACGACUCAGCUCCUCGCCGACCGGAGCGAGGUGCCGUCGCGGUCCGAUGCCGAGCGCCGCCGCGAGCACCAGGCCGCCGCGCUCGGGGCGACGCUGCCCGCACCAUCCCUGCGAUGCGCCCACCUCCAACCCGGCGGCGAUGGCGAUGUCCGCGAGGCCCUGGGCGCGAGGGAGGCGAUGGCGACCAGCUGAAGCGGCAGCGCCGUCAUCCUACACCGGGAGGCGGGGCCUGGUGGCGCACGAGGCUGCGGGACGCGGAAGGGGGAGAAGCAAGGGAGGUACUGUUCGAGGAGGCGGGGCGCGGAGGGAGAGAGCAGUGGAGGUGCUGACGCUGACGCCGCGGCGCUUCAUGGAGGUCAACUAGGAGGUGGACGAGGCCUUGCAGCUCGCAGCCGACCUGCUCGCCGAUGCGCCAAUAGGGAUCUGCUCGUCGGCGGGGAUGCCGUUUUCUUCUAGUGAUGUGCGGAUGGUGAACUGCUCGCCGGGAUUCACCCCGAGCCCAGGGAGUGGGAGUAUCGGGGAUAGGAUAUGUGCAUCGAGCAGAGGGGGCUGGUGUUCACUUCAGGUUUCUUGCCUCAGUCGGAUCAGUUCUGGAGUCCUUGAUCUCCUCGUCCUUUUUCAACAGCUUUACGUGGGAAGGUAUUGGAUAUUACUAAAAGUUUAGGAGAGCAAAUGUAUGAUAGACAAAUAUGCAAAAUAAGAAUGAACUCUUUUUUAGUUGUUCGGUAGCACAUCAUACACUGAUUGCACUGAAACAGGAAUUGCUAGACUAUUGAUGGAGAAGAUCAUGUGUCCCCUUUUUUUUAUGUUGUCUAGCAGUGACUUGGGAAUUUGUUUAGUAGUGACAUGCCAAUUUGUUUGACUUUAGAUUUCUGGUUCACAUGGGUACACAUUGGGUACAUCUUGACAAUAUUUUUUCUGGAAUAGUUUCUUUUGAGCAUGGCAAAUUGUGUAGAACAUGAUAUUUAGUACAAUAUGGCAAAUUGGCAACUAGUGUGUAGUGUUUAGCACUGUUUAGUGUUGUUUGUCCUCCUGCGAGAAUUAUAUUCAGUAAUUUGCCAUGGCAUUUGUCCUCCUGUAUUUAGUCUGUAGUGCAAAUUUUGUAAACUUGCCAUGUGAUCAGUACAUACAAACUCUAGCUUUGAAAUGAAUCAUGAAUCGAAUUUUCUCUAGAUUUUGCCAUGAAUCAGAAGUAUAUAUUGUUGAACACUGUUUUGCCAUGGCAAAAAGGAUUUUAUAGCUUUUGGCAUGCCUCUAAUAUAGCUUUUUCCAUGUCACCACUAUAACUUUUGGCAUGACAUACACAUAUUUUUUUUUACCAUGGCAAAUUUGCUAAUCUGUUUGCCAUGCCUCUAAUAUAGUUUUCGCCAUGUCACCACUACAACUUUGGCCAUGUUCACAUGGAGUAGUAAAAAUAAAAACAAAUUUGAGUUGAUUGUAGAAAUAUGUGUUUGUUUCCCUUUUUUUGACUUUGUAGGAUUGAUGAUGACCACAUUAAGCAUUGCAACUUUUAACAGAUUUGAUUUUGCUUUUGUACUUACUACUGCAAAUCCACCCAGGUAAUUUUGCCAUGUCAAUUAACAUGCAGUAUGUUCGUGCCAUGGAAAAUUUGCAUUCUUUUUCAUUUCAUUUACACGGCAAGUCUUCAAAACAUUUUAGUAUUCCCUCCAUCUCGAAAUAUAUCUACAACCUAGAAAAUUACCUAAAAACUAAUUACUUUUUUUAAACAGAAAGAGUUACUUUCCCACCACCUAAUUUAGGUGUACUGUUUUUUGCGCCAAUAUUUUUUAACCUCCCGCUAAAAGGUCCCAAAUUAGCGUCUUUGUUCCCACCAAAGAAUUAGCUUCCCGCUAAAUACCUUCCUAACAACCCACGAAUAUAUAAUUCUAGACCAAACGACGGCGUCUUCACGGGCGAUUGGAUCUGAGCUCUCGUCUCGGUUCAUCUGUGCUGCCGGCGUCAUGACGGCGUCAAUAGAGCGAACCACGUCAGGUGCACGGCGUCAGGGCACAAUGAUGAAUUUUACGGAGGAUGCUCCUGUAAAGAAAUGCUCUGUUCUCUUAACAAGGAUGGAAAGUAUAACGGCAUACAAAAACCAACGUGGACAACCCAAAUCUGCAACUCCAGAACAAUCUGACAUUCCAGUGUCUGCUAAUGACAUGUGUUCCCUUGCUGAAUGGCCAUCCCAUGCUCGCCGCAACCGUGCGCGACUACAGGAUGAAGCUGGUGGACAGAAGAAGAAAGGGCGAGGUGUUCUAAAAGGUUUUAAAGCAUCUAAGAAGCGUUUUGCCAAUGGAUCUGCAAAGCUAAAUAUUACAUUCUCUGAAAAAUUGGGUGGUACAGUAGGAAUGAACUAUCGUUCGUUCAAGGAUGACGUGGUUGUCAUAAUGAAAAGAAAGUUACCACUCAUUGGAGUGAGGACGUGGUCGGACAUUCACCCUACCAUUCAUCGACUCAUUGUUGCAGAUAUAAUAGACAGAUGGGACCUGGAAGAUACACCAGAAACAGAAGAAAAAGUUCUCAAAAUUGCGAAAGAGAGAUAUAGAGGCUGGCGAUCAACUCUAAGCUCCACUUACAAGGCAUACAAAACAGAUGCAGCUAGAUUGGCUAAUCUGCCUGAAGAUUUACAACCAGAAGAGUGGGAAUGGAUGAUUGAGUACUUUGGCACUGAUUCAAAAUUUUAGGAACACAGCCAAAAGAACGCUGAUAACCGUAAGAAACAGAAGACAAAACAUAUAAUCGGAUCAAAAUCUUACUUGCAAGUUAGUUUUGAGAAGAGAAACUUAGAAACUGGAGAAGAGCCAGAUUGUAUUGCUCUAUGGGAACUCACCCACACAAAUAAUGGAACAUGGUCUAACACAGAUUCCCAGAAAGUUUACGACCAAGCACUUGAAGAGGUUAAAAACAAAGAAGCUGAAACUAAAGGUCCACUUUCAAGUGAGCAGAAAAACAAUGUUUUCCAGACCGCUUACAAAGACACUCUAGAAUGCAAGUCAUCGCAGCCUCGUGGGUACGGAUACAUGGACAAAACUUCAACUGGUUCUAAAAAGUUCCGUAUCCAGAUUGAAGAGCAAGCUCAUGCUACAGCAGCCACCCAGGAGCGAAACUCUCAGCUCAGCCAGCAGGUCAAUGACUUAGAAGAUCAACUACAAGCUGAACGUGCUAACACACAAGAGAGGAUUAACUUGGAGCGUGCUGAGAGAGAACAACUUGAGGAGAGGUUAAAAGAAGAGCGUGUUGAAAGGGAAAGAUUGUUGCAAGAGGAGCGAACAUCAAGACUGGAAUUUGAAAAAAACAUGAUGGCAAAGUUUGUAGAAUUGAGCAAACAGAUAGAAACCCAACAGGUUCCUACGAAGAGGGUUGACAAAGAAAAUAGUAAUCCAAACUUGCAAAAUAUUCUUUCACAGACAUCUAGUCCUAAUAAGACUCCAGGUUCAAGGUCGACUGCUAUUUCUUCAAAUGCGCUCAUACAAGCUGCAGCAAGGCAAUCUCGAAUGUAUAAAGCAAUGGAUCCAAAGAACUAGCUGGACUGGACUCUAGAUCACAGGCAGUUUAGUCUUCGAAGUUAAUUAGGAUGGCUAAAUUACAUUUGAGUUUUAUUUGAUGGAUAUUUUCUAUCAGAAGUAUGAAUUGUAUGAAUCUACAUAUUAUAUGUAUGGUUUUGAAUAUUGUAAUUAAAACCUUGUAAUUUUUUUUACGAUUGCAAUAGACUAUUACCACAACCCA